GUGGUCAAGCGAAAAAGAGCUAACGGUGGAUACCUAGGCACACAGAGGCGAAGAAGGACGUGGCGACCGACGAAACGCUUCGGGGAGCUGGAAGCAAGCAAUGAGCCGAAGAUGUCCGAAUGGGGAAACCCCAAAGUACUCCUGAGUGAACUCAUAGCUCAGAGAGAGCCAACCCAGCGAACUGAAACAUCUUAGUAGCUGGAGGAAAAGAAAUCAAACCGAGAUUCCCCUAGUAGCGGCGAGCGAAGCGGGAAAAGCCUAAACCAACUCGAAAUUCGGGUUGGGGUAGUGGGACAGCAACAGGGAAUCAAAGAAACUAAACGAAGCCCUUGAAUGGGGCACCAAAGAAGGUGAAAGUCCUGUAGUUGAAAGUGGACUGAUACUAGCUGAAUCCCGAGUAGCAUGGGGCACGUGAAAUCCCGUGUGAAUCAGCGAGGACCACCUCGUAAGGCUAAAUACUCCUGUGUGACCGAUAGCGAAACAGUACCGCGAGGGAAAGGUGAAAAGAACCCCGGGAGGGGAGUGAAACAGAACCUGAAACCGUUAGCUUACAAGCAAUGGGAGGACGAUUAAACGUCUGACCGUGUGCCUGUUGAAGAAUGAGCCGGCGAGUUACAAGCGGUGGCAGGUUAAGGCCCAAUGGCUGAAGCCAAAGCGAAAGCGAGUCCGAACAGGGCAGUAGUCACCGAUUGUAGACCCGAACCCGGGUGAUCUA
rnacentral:rRNA from 1 species